GGGUGUCGUAAGACUUAAUAGGGAAGUCCGGUAUAUUCCGGUGCGGUCCCGCCACUGUAAAAAGGAGCAGCUCAUAUUACCACUGGUCAUGCCGGGAAGGAUGAGUCUGCGAUGAUUUUAGCCAGGAGACCUGCCUUUUCU
rnacentral:ncRNA from 1 species